rnacentral:ncRNA from 1 species
AAAGGUUCGGUCCCAGCCUUAAAAUCAAUUUUUACCUAAUAUACACAUGCAAGUAUCCGCACCCCUGUGAGAAUGCCCUUAACUCCCCUGUAGGGACAAGGAGCCGGUAUCAGGCGCAUUAAUCAGCCCAAGACACCUAGCCAUGCCACACCCACACGGGCCCCCAGCAGUGAUUAACAUUGAACAUAAGCGAUAGCUUGAUUCAGUUAAGGUAAAGAGAGCCGGCAAAUCUGGUGCCAGCCGCCGCGGUUACACCAUGAGGCUCAAAUUGUACUAUUUCGGCGUAAAGCGUGAUUUAAGCAAACACUAAACUAGAGCCAAACUUAAAUUAAGUUGUGAAAAGCUUAUUAUUCGGGAAGCCCAAAAACGAAAGUCACUCUAACCUAACCCACUUGAAUUCACGACAGCUAGGACACAAACUGGGAUUAGAUACCCCACUAUGCCUAACCGUAAACCUUAAACUACUGCCAAAUCGCCAGGGAACUACGAGCAAAGCUUAAAACCCAAAGGACUUGACGGUGCCCCAUAUCCCCCUAGAGGAGCCUGUCCUAUAAUCGAUACCCCACGCUAAACCUCACCACUUCUAGUUUAUCAGCCUGUAUACCUCCGUCGUCAGCUCACCGCAUGAGCGACCCCCAGUGAGCUUAAUGAUAUUUCACCAAUACGUCAGGUCAAGGUGGCAGCAAAUGAAAUGGAAAGAGAUGGGCUACACUUUCUAACUUAGAACAAACGAAAGACUUUAUGAAAUCUAGUCAGAAGGCGGAUUUAGAAGUAAGGAGAAGAUCAGAAUGCUUCCCUUAACCUGGCACUGGGGUGUGUACACACCGCCCGUCACCCUCUUCAAAAACCAAACACAGUAUUUAACUAACCUGCCCACAAAAGAAGAGGUAAGUCGUAACAUGGUAAGUAUACCGGAAGGUAUGCUUGGACA